AAGUCGUAACAAGGUCUCCGUUGGUGAACCAGCGGAGGGAUCAUUACUGAGUACUACACUCUCUACCCUUUGUGAACUAUUAUACCUGUUGCUUCGGCGGCGCCCGCAAGGGUGCCCGCCGGUCUCAUCAGAAUCUCUGUUUUCGAACCCGACGAUACUUCUGAGUGUUCUUAGCGAACUGUCAAAACUUUUAACAACGGAUCUCUUGGCUCCAGCAUCGAUGAAGAACGCAGCGAAACGCGAUAUGUAAUGUGAGUUGCAGAAUUCAGUGAAUCAUCGAAUCUUUGAACGCACAUGGCGCCUUCCAGUAUCCUGGGAGGCAUGCCUGUCCGAGCGUCGUUUCAACCCUCGAGCCCCUGUGGCCCGGCGUUGGGGAUCUGCCACGGCAGGCCCCUAAAACCAGUGGCGGACCCGAAGGGCCCUCUCCUUUGCGCAGUAGCAUUCGCCUCGCAUCGGGAGUCCUCGGCGUCCUGCCUCUAAACCCCCCACAAGCCCGCUUCGGCGGCACCAAGGUUGACCUCGGAUCAGGUAGGAAUACCCGCUGAACUUAA
rnacentral:rRNA from 1 species